rnacentral:rRNA from 1 species
GACGUAGGGCGCGAGCGUUGUCCGGAUUUAUUGGGCGUAAAGAGCUCGUAGGCGGCUUGUCGCGUCGACUGUGAAAACCCGUGGCUCAACCAUGUGGUCUGCAGUCGAUACGGGCAGGCUAGAAUUCGGUAGGGGAGACUGGAAUUCCUGGUGUAGCGGUGAAAUGCGCAGAUAUCAGGAGGAACACCGGUGGCGAAGGCGGAUCUCUGGGCCUGUUCUGACGCUGAGGCGCGAAAGCUAGGGAGCGAACGGG